rnacentral:rRNA from 1 species
AACGACUCUCGGCAACGGAUAUCUCGGCUCUCGCAUCGAUGAAGAACGUAGCGAAAUGCGAUACUUGGUGUGAAUUGCAGAAUCCCGUGAACCAUCGAGUCUUUGAACGCAAGUUGCGCCCCAAACCUUCUGGUCGAGGGCACGUCUGCCUGGGUGUCACAAA